rnacentral:rRNA from 1 species
AAUAGAGAAAUAACGCUGAUGAUUGUGGAUAACUCUGUGCGUAAAAAGGUAUAAAGCGGGGUUUUGCUGGGGAAUGCAGCAGUCAGUCAUUUUUCUGCAAUUUUUCUAUUGCGGCCUGCGGAGAACUCCCUAUAAUGCGCCUCCAUCGACACGGCGGAUGUGAAUCACUUCACACAAACAGCCGGUUCGGUUGAAGAGAAAAAUUCUGAAAUUCAGGGUUGACUCUGAAAGAGGAAAGCGUAAUAUACGCCACCUCGCGACAGUGAGCUGAAAGCCGCGUCGCAACUGCUCUUUAACAAUUUAUCAGACAAUCUGUGUGGGCACUCGAAGAUACGGAUUCUUAACGUCGCAAGACGAAAAAUGAAUACCAAGUCUCAAGAGUGAACACGUAAUUCAUUACGAAGUUUAAUUCUUUGAGCAUCAAACUUUUAAAUUGAAGAGUUUGAUCAUGGCUCAGAUUGAACGCUGGCGGCAGGCCUAACACAUGCAAGUCGAACGGUAACAGGAAGAAGCUUGCUUCUUUGCUGACGAGUGGCGGACGGGUGAGUAAUGUCUGGGAAACUGCCUGAUGGAGGGGGAUAACUACUGGAAACGGUAGCUAAUACCGCAUAACGUCGCAAGACCAAAGAGGGGGACCUUCGGGCCUCUUGCCAUCGGAUGUGCCCAGAUGGGAUUAGCUAGUAGGUGGGGUAACGGCUCACCUAGGCGACGAUCCCUAGCUGGUCUGAGAGGAUGACCAGCCACACUGGAACUGAGACACGGUCCAGACUCCUACGGGAGGCAGCAGUGGGGAAUAUUGCACAAUGGGCGCAAGCCUGAUGCAGCCAUGCCGCGUGUAUGAAGAAGGCCUUCGGGUUGUAAAGUACUUUCAGCGGGGAGGAAGGGAGUAAAGUUAAUACCUUUGCUCAUUGACGUUACCCGCAGAAGAAGCACCGGCUAACUCCGUGCCAGCAGCCGCGGUAAUACGGAGGGUGCAAGCGUUAAUCGGAAUUACUGGGCGUAAAGCGCACGCAGGCGGUUUGUUAAGUCAGAUGUGAAAUCCCCGGGCUCAACCUGGGAACUGCAUCUGAUACUGGCAAGCUUGAGUCUCGUAGAGGGGGGUAGAAUUCCAGGUGUAGCGGUGAAAUGCGUAGAGAUCUGGAGGAAUACCGGUGGCGAAGGCGGCCCCCUGGACGAAGACUGACGCUCAGGUGCGAAAGCGUGGGGAGCAAACAGGAUUAGAUACCCUGGUAGUCCACGCCGUAAACGAUGUCGACUUGGAGGUUGUGCCCUUGAGGCGUGGCUUCCGGAGCUAACGCGUUAAGUCGACCGCCUGGGGAGUACGGCCGCAAGGUUAAAACUCAAAUGAAUUGACGGGGGCCCGCACAAGCGGUGGAGCAUGUGGUUUAAUUCGAUGCAACGCGAAGAACCUUACCUGGUCUUG